AGAUGCCCGUGCAGUGUCGCAGCAGUCCAGCUAGGACCGCAGAUGACUGGUUCAGAACGGGCUGUCGAGGCUGUGCUUGGAGGGCUGUGUCGACAGGAGUAAUGUCAAUGUGUUGGGUGGUACCUUUCAGUACUUGGUCCAGCAGGUUGGCACGGGUGGCGGUGUCAUGCUGGUCGUAGGUCAGCAUAGCUGAGCGCACAGGAGUGUUGACGAGCCAUCUGUUACCCACAAUCUCUGCUUGCGUUUCUGUGACUUGUGUACGAGGCUUGGCUUCGGCAGGGCAGCGCGUAUCGCUGACCCAGGGUUGCAGCUCGCAGAUUCCUUCAGAGUUGUGUCUGAGGAAGGGUUUGCUAAGGCAGAGAUAAUGAAUGUCUUUGGUUAAAGUACACAUGUGCAUGUUUGGGGCCAGGUACAGCUGUGUGUCGCUGUCGUGGUAGGCCACCACAUUUGGAAUGUGUGUUUUGGUGUGGGUGUUGCUUUCCACAUCCUGACACUGACAAUGUCUUUAGGUCUGUAGACUUGGCUUGACUCGCUGAUGAGUUGGUUCAGGAGCACGUUCACUUCUCUCUGUUUGGGGGUUACGUGCCGUAGGAAGGCGCUAUCCAGAGAGUUGGCCAGGUGUAUUUGUAGCAGGUCAGCUGGCAUGGUGAUGGCGUAAGACAGCACAGUUAACACAAGGCUUAAGGGUAUCAUGUAUGGUGGGGUUUUACUCGUGGUUAGGCUGUCAUUGGAGGAGCUAACCUCCCACAGCAUGUCUGUUGUUAAUGCUGUAAACAGCUGAGUCUGGGUAAAGUCUUCUGGAAGACAGUAAACAGUGGUUUCAAGGAGUUUACAGUCUGGUUCGCUGCAUUGACACUGGACAUAACAAUGUUAAACAUUCUGGCGGCAGCAGCAGCGGCUCUAAGCAAAGCUCCCGGGAACUGUUUGGAGCGGUGGUGGUGUCCACUAACUCCAUUUGUGUAACCGUCACUUUCUCAUGUUGGCUGAACAGGUGUUUGACAUCGGCCUCAGUGUGAGUGAGGGAGUCCUCUCUCCAUCGGAAACCUUGUACAGCUGUAUUCGGUUACAGUGCUGGGUAGUGUGCCCUGUCAUCGGUAGUCAGGAGUCUCAGCAGCUGUCCUCUCUUUGGCUGACAGCACGGCACGGCAAACCACAGCAGCAUCCUGGUACAGAUAAUAGGGAGAGAGAGAGAGAAAGGGGAGAAAGAAACAAACAAGGCCUGUCUUUGGUUGGACAGGACAGUCUCUUUGCUUCGUGGGCGGUGACUGGGUUUAGCUCGCCCUCGCCCAUGUUUUGCCACAUCUUGCUGCUGGCAUUGUGA
rnacentral:lncRNA from 1 species